CUGGGAAACAGGUUGGGCGCUUCGGCGCUCGCCCCCACCCUUUGCCUAGCCUCCGAUGACUAAAAACCCGUCGGCCUUUGGCGCGCCCGCUUGACAGCGGGUACGCCGGCCGGACAUCAAACCCUGAACAAUAUUGUAGCCUGAAGUAAAAAGCAAAUAGUUA
rnacentral:misc_RNA from 1 species